AAUGAGUAAAAGCGGUUUUGAAAAGUUAAAUGGAACGUAGGUUUAAAAGUGUUUAAAAUUAGAUAAUUAGGCCAAAAAUAAUAGAGAGACCGUGCUAGAACUACGGAACCGGGAAGGCCUAACACCUUCUCCUAAGUUAACAAAAUUCCAUACCUUGAUUUCUGUGUUCGCGGACUAUAAAACAGAGUCAAUCUUUUCUCGAUUAGG
rnacentral:lncRNA from 1 species